rnacentral:rRNA from 1 species
GGGAUAAACCCGGGAAACUGGGUAUAAUACCCGAUAGAUCUCGACUGCUGGAAUGCAUCGAGAUCGAAAGCUCCGGCGCCUAAGGAUGGGUCUGCGGCCUAUCAGGUAGUAGUGGGUGUAGCGUACCUACUAGCCUACGACGGGUACGGGUUGUGAGAGCAAGAGCCCGGAGAUGGAUUCUGAGACACGAAUCCAGGCCCUACGGGGUGCAGCAGGCGCGAAAACUUUACAAUGCUGGAAACAGCGAUAAGGGGACCUCGAGUGCCAGGUUACAAAUCUGGCUGUCGUGAUGCCUAAAAAGCAUUGCAUAGCAAGGGCCGGGCAAGACCGGUGCCAGCCGCCGCGGUAACACCGGCGGCUCGAGUGGUAACCGUUAUUAUUGGGUCUAAAGGGUCUGUAGCCGGCCGGAUAAGUCUCUUGGGAAAUCCUGCAGCUCAACUGUUGGGCUUUCAGGAGAUACUGUCUGGCUCGAGGCCGGGAGAGGUGAGAGGUACUUCAGGGGUAGGGGUGAAAUCUUGUAAUCCUUGAAGGACCACCAGUGGCGAAGGCGUCUCACCAGAACGGACCUGACGGCAAGGGACGAAAGCUAGGGGCACGAACCGGAUUAGAUACCCGGGUAGUCCUAGCCGUAAACGAUACUCGCUAGGUGUCGGCCACGGUGCGACCGUUGUCGGUGCCGUAGGGAAGCCGUGAAGCGAGCCACCUGGGAAGUACGGCCGCAAGGCUGAAACUUAAAGGAAUUGGCGGGGGAGCACCACAACGGGUGGAGCUUGCGGUUUAAUUGGAUUCAACGCCGGAAAUCUUACCGGGACCGACAGCAAUAUGAAGGCCAAGCUGAAGACUUUGCCGGAUUAGCUGAGAGGUGGUGCAUGGCCGUCGUCAGUUCGUACUGUGAAGCAUCCUGUUAAGUCAGGCAACGAGCGAGACCCACGCCCACAGUUGCCAGCGUACUCUCCGGAGUGACGGGUACACUGUGGGGACCGCCGCUGCUAAAGCGGAGGAAGGAAUGGGCAACGGUAGGUCAGUAUGCCCCGAAUAUCCCGGGCUACACGCGAGCUACAAUGGUUGGUACAAUGGGUAUCUACCCCGAAAGGGGAUGGAAAUCUCCUAAAGCCAAUCUUAGUUCGGAUUGAGGGCUGCAACUCGCCCUCAUGAAGCCGGAAUCCGUAGUAAUCGCGUUUCAACAGAACGCGGUGAAUACGUCCCUGCUCCUUGCACACACCGCC